GAAAGCAAAGAAAUUAGGGCAAAAGCAGUUAUGCAUGUGUGCACAACCAUGUAGCAAUUGCUAAUAAAAAGCUCGAAUCUAAACAGAGCUGACUGAAAGGGACAGCCUCCGUAUUUAUAUCCCUACUCAUUCACAAUUGGUAACAAAAAUGUACAUGUGUUGGUGUAUCUUCAAUAUGAGGGUUAGAAGACGAUCAAACAUGAAUUCUAUCUAUACUUGUUAGAAUCCCUCAAUUAGUGU
rnacentral:misc_RNA from 1 species